UGAGGAAUAUUGGUCAAUGGGCGCGAGCCUGAACCAGCCAUCCCGCGUGCAGGAAGACGGCCCUAUGGGUUGUAAACUGCUUUUCCAGGGGGAGAAACUUGCGCACGUGUUGCGCAAUUGACGGUACCCUGGGAAUAAGCAUCGGCUAACUCCGUGCCAGCAGCCGCGGUAAUACGGAGGAUGCGAGCGUUAUCCGGAUUCAUUGGGUUUAAAGGGUGCGUAGGCGGACUAUUAAGCCAGUGGUGAAAUCCUGCAGCUUAACUGCAGAACUGCCAUUGAUACUGAUAGCCUUGAGUUUGGUUAAGGUAGGCGGAAUGUGUAAUGUAGCGGUGAAAUGCUUAGAUAUUACACAGAACACCAAUUGCGUAGGCGGCUUACUGAGCCGACACUGACGCUGAGGCACGAAAGCGUGGGGAUCGAACAG
rnacentral:rRNA from 1 species